GGGGCUGUAGCUCAGUGGUAGAACACUUGCCUAACAUGCAUAAGGUGCUGGGUUCAAUCACCAGCCCCA
rnacentral:tRNA from 1 species